GGGCCGGUAGCUCAGCUUGGUAGAGCGCUUGACUUUUAAUCAAGCGGUCGCGAGUUCGAAUCUCGUCCGGCCCG
rnacentral:tRNA from 1 species